rnacentral:rRNA from 1 species
AGGCGAGCUGAUCAGCAUGCCGCGUGCAGGAUGAAGGCCUUCGGGUUGUAAACUGCUUUUGUACGGAACGAAAAGCUUUGGGUUAAUACCCUGGAGUCAUGACGGUACCGUAAGAAUAAGCACCGGCUAACUACGUGCCAGCAGCCGCGGUAAUACGUAGGGUGCAAGCGUUAAUCGGAAUUACUGGGCGUAAAGCGUGCGCAGGCGGUUUUGUAAGACAGAGGUGAAAUCCCCGGGCUCAACCUGGGAACUGCCUUUGUGACUGCAAGGCUAGAGUACGGCAGAGGGGGGUGGAAUUCCGCGUGUAGCAGUGAAAUGCGUAGAUAUGCGGAGGAACACCGAUGGCGAAGGCAACCCCCUGGGCCUGUACUGACGCUCAUGCACGAAAGCGUGGGGAGCAAACAGGAUUAGAUACCCUGGUAGUCCACGCCCUAAACGAUGUCAACUGGUUGUUGGGUCUUAACUGACUCAGUAACGAAGCUAACGCGUGAAGUUGACCGCCUGGGGAGUACGGCCGCAAGGUUGAAACUCAAAGGAAAUUGACG